rnacentral:rRNA from 1 species
AAAACUUUCAACAACGGAUCUCUUGGUUCUGGCAUCGAUGAAGAACGCAGCGAAAUGCGAUAAGUAAUGUGAAUUGCAGAAUUCAGUGAAUCAUCGAAUCUUUGAACGCACAUUGCGCCCGCCAGUAUUCUGGCGGGCAUGCCUGUCCGAGCGUCA